UAGAGUUUGAUCUGCUCAGAUUGAACGCUGGCGGCAGGCCUAACACAUGCAAGUCGAGCGGUAGAGAGAAGCUUGCUUCUCUUGAGAGCGGCGGACGGGUGAGUAAUGCCUAGGAAUCUGCCUAGUGGUGGGGGAUAACGUUCGGAAACGGACGCUAAUACCGCAUACGUCCUACGGGAGAAAGCGGGGGACCUUCGGGCCUCGCGCCAUUAGAUGAGCCUAGGUCGGAUUAGCUAGUUGGUGAGGUAAAGGCUCACCAAGGCGACGAUCCGUAACUGGUCUGAGAGGAUGAUCAGUCACACUGGAACUGAGACACGGUCCAGACUCCUACGGGAGGCAGCAGUGGGGAAUAUUGGACAAUGGGCGAAAGCCUGAUCCAGCCAUGCCGCGUGUGUGAAGAAGGUCUUCGGAUUGUAAAGCACUUUAAGUUGGGAGGAAGGGUAGUAACUUAAUACGUUGCUACUUUGACGUUACCGACAGAAUAA
rnacentral:rRNA from 1 species